rnacentral:rRNA from 1 species
GAUGAACGCUGGCGGCGUGCUUAACACAUGCAAGUCGAACGGAGAAAGGGUAGCUUGCUAUCUUUUCUUAGUGGCGGACGGGUGAGUAACGCGUGGGUAACCUGCCCUUUGCAGGGGGAUAACAGUGAGAAAUCGCUGCUAAUACCGCAUACCAACUUCUUUCGCAUGAAGGAAGUUUGAAAGAUUUAUCGGCAAAGGAUGGACCCGCGUUGGAUUAGCUAGUUGGUGAGAUAACAGCCCACCAAGGCAACGAUCCAUAGCCGGCCUGAGAGGGUGAACGGCCACACUGGGACUGAGACACGGCCCAGACUCCUACGGGAGGCAGCAGUGGGGAAUAUUGCACAAUGGGCGAAAGCCUGAUGCAGCGACGCCGCGUGAAGGAUGAAGGUCUUCGGAUUGUAAACUUCUAUCAGCAGGGAAGAAAGGGCUUAUAGCCUAUGACGGUACCUGACUAAGAAGCCCCGGCUAACUACGUGCCAGCAGCCGCGGUAAAAGUCACG